rnacentral:rRNA from 1 species
GACAGAGGGUGCAAACGUUGUUCGGAAUUACUGGGCGUAAAGCGCGUGUAGGCGGCUCGGAAAGUCGGGUGUGAAAGCCCUGGGCUCAACCCAGGAAGUGCAUUCGAAACUUCCGAGCUGGAGUCCCGGAGAGGAUGGCGGAAUUCUCGGUGUAGAGGUGAAAUUCGUAGAUAUCAAGCGGAACACCGGUGGCGAAGGCGGCCUUCUGGACAGUAACUGACGCUGAGACGCGAAAGCGUGGGGAGCAAACAGG